CCUACGGGAGGCAGCAGUAAGGAAUAUUGGUCAAUGGAGGCAACUCUGAACCAGCCAUGCCGCGUGCAGGAUGACGGCCCUAUGGGUUGUAAACUGCUUUUAUACAAGAGAAAACCCUGGUACGUGUACCAGGUUGAUAGUAUUGUAAGAAUAAGCAUCGGCUAACUUCGUGCCAGCAGCCGCGGUAAGACGAAGGAUGCAAGCGUUAUCCGGAUUCAUUGGGUUUAAAGGGUGCGUAGGCGGACUGAUAAGUCAGUGGUGAAAUCUCUUUGCUUAACAAAGAAACUGCCAUUGAUACUGUCGGUCUAGAGUAUAGAUGACGUUGGCGGAAUAUGACAUGUAGUGGUGAAAUACUUAGAUAUGUCAUAGAACACCGAUUGCGAAGGCAGCUAACGAAACUAUAACUGACGCUGAGGCACGAAAGUGCGGGGAUCAAACAGGAUUAGAUACCCUGGUAGUCCGCACCGUAAACGAUGAUUACUCGUUGUUGGCGAUAUGACAGUCAGCGACCAAGCGAAAGCGAUAAGUAAUCCACCUGGGGAGUACGCCGGCAACGGUGAAACUCAAAUGAAUUGACGGCGNGAGAGNGCGACGGCGACACGAGGGGAGGUAGG
rnacentral:rRNA from 1 species